AUGUCGCUGCACCUCUGGUCUCUUGAGGGGGCGGCCGAGGUCCUGGCCGACAAGUGGAUCAUUGACCGCCUCGAUAGCCAGACCCAUGAGCGCAGGCACACGAGGACCUUUGCGUGCUGGGUGUGGGUGUGGAACGUGUUGUUCAUCCCCACCCGGCACACUAUCUAGAGAGCGCCGCAGGGUGCUGGCCGUGUGGAGGCCAUGCUGGGCUACUCGCCACUGAGCCGGGAGGUGGUGCUGCCGCCGCACGUCCGGCGCCACGACAUGCUCGUCCAUGUACAUUGCGUCGAAGACUGGUUGCCUCUCUCACCGUGCUCGUCGCACUCGGCGUAG
rnacentral:rRNA from 1 species